GAGAGGCCUUGUUAGUCUUGUAAGUUUCAGAAGCAUCUUGAGACUUGUGAGUUGUCUACUCCCACAGCCUGGACACCAAGGGCUCCAGACAUUGUGAGAGUUUCCUUUUAUGUUAUGAUGGGAAUCAAGAACAACACUGCCUCGAGGAACCCAUUCCUGGACAACUGUCAGGAGUCAUCUAAGAAAGACUAAAGGAAUGCAAGCUCACAAACCAGACUGAAGUGUGUUCUUGCUGCUACUCAAAAUUGCGGGAACUGCCACAAUAACAGUCCAAGUGUGGUGAUGGAUUUUCUGAAAGUCCUCCUUGUCUUCAAAGGGACUGAACUUUCACCAGACCCUGCAGGCAACCUGCGAUCUUCCUGUUUACUCAGACAGGGUAAACUUAACUUGUCUUAAAGAGAACAAGUCCUCCGCCAAUCCAAGGAACUCAGUCAGCUAUGCUGGCAUAGCUGACAAGUGGAGGUCCCACUGAGAUCGGAAAGAUGAGGAAGAUUGCUGACGGGCCAUCUCUGGGACGCGCAUUAGGACAGGAAACGUAUUGGAUAUGAACCGAAGGUAAGUUUUCAGGGUAAGUAAAUGCCAUGGAUUUGGCACAUAGUAAGGAGUUGCUGGCUAAGCAACUAUCUACUCUUCUGGCUCAGCGGGAAACCGCAGUUGCAGCUAGGAUUAUUGAAGAAUUUAUGAAAGAAUUACAAAAAUUCUCUCCAUGGUUUGUGGCGAGCGGCACUUUUAAGCUGGAAGACUGGGUAAAGGUAAUAGGUGAUUUUCGUGCAGCUUUGGCCCUUUAUUCCUUAGAAAAAUCAGUUUGGGGCGUUUGUCUUCGCCUGUGGCGAUUUCUUUCUGUACAGUUUUCCUCCCUCUUCUACAUCUCUGGGUUGCAAAUGCCACCCUCCUUGCUGCUUUCGAGGAUUGCUUUC